rnacentral:lncRNA from 1 species
CUCAUAUGUGGGAGAUAGCUAAUACAUACUUACAAGACAUUUAUUGCAUAGUCAAACCAUGGAUCCAGAGAAACAAGUCAAUAAGUCAAAUCAAGAUGUGCAUGUGUGGCAAGUGAAUAGUGUAUGGUGAUGAUGGUGAUAACAAUGGUGAAAGUCUAAUUCUACUUUUGCUCUUUUUAGGGGAUACAUACCUUUCAUGCACUUUGAAGCUUUUUGAGGAGAAUGAGAUGCUCUAUAUUUUCUUUUUCUUUCCUCUUAGGUGGGUAUCUUGUACCCCUAAUUCUACUGUCGGACACUUGUCCAUUUUUACCUCUCGUCUCACUUUUUCUUUUCUUCGAGGUUCCGGGCACUUGCCCCUUUUUAUUUCCUCGUAUCCUCUCUUCUUUUUUUUAGAACA